AGAGACAGCAGUAGCCACGGGAAUACGUAGGUGGCAAGCGUUAUCCGGAAUUAUUGGGCGUAAAGCGCGCGUAGGCGGUUUUUUAAGUCUGAUGUGAAAGCCCACGGCUCAACCGUGGAGGGUCAUUGGAAACUGGAAAACUUGAGUGCAGAAGAGGAAAGUGGAAUUCCAUGUGUAGCGGUGAAAUGCGCAGAGAUAUGGAGGAACACCAGUGGCGAAGGCGGCUUUCUGGUCUGUAACUGACGCUGAUGUGCGAAAGCGUGGGGAUCAAACAGGAUUAGAUACCCCAGUAGUCCCUGUCUCUUAUAC
rnacentral:rRNA from 1 species